rnacentral:rRNA from 1 species
GCUUGUCUCAAAGAUUAAGCCAUGCAUGUCUCAGUAUAAGUUCCUGUACGGCGAAACUGCGAAUGGCUCAUUAAAACAGUUACAGUUUAUUUGAUGGUCGUUCCUUACAUGGAUAACUGUGGUAAUUCUAGAGCUAAUACAUGCGUAAAGGGUGCUGAAAGGCAUCUGUGUUUAUUAGAUACAACCAACCCCUCGCGGGUUUAGGUGAUUCAUAAUAACCGAACGAACCGCGUUCAGCGGUGAUUCUUUCUACAUUAUUCCCUAUCAGCUUUCGUUUUUUGUGUAGUGGACAAAAAAGGCUUUGACGGGUAACGGAGAAUUAGGGUUCGAUUCCGGAGAGGGAGCCUGAGAGAUGGCUACCACAUCCAAGGAAGGCAGCAGG